rnacentral:lncRNA from 1 species
UCUUGCCCUCGAGGCUCUCAUUCCCUCUCCCAGCUUUUGGUAGGGCCAGACUUCCGCUGGAAUGAUCCCCUAAAACAACAGCAGGACCUAGAGAGUCCUUCUUCAAAGACGGCACCUAGAGUGAUGCUCUCCGAGCAGUGAAAGACAGGACCCACGUCACAAGCGUACCCUCUCCAGCUCCCUCCACAGAGAAAAUUACUGAGACUCGCAUUUUAGACCCGAGGGAAUGGAGGCCGAGGGCAGCGAGGCGACAGCUCCAGCAACCAGGAUCUGACCCCUCCCCAUCUGCCCCUCCAGCCCCCAGGGAAGCCAGAACCAGGCACAAACCAGAUGGCCCAGCUUAUGCCCAGCAACUCAGGGUCACCAGAUCUUGUCUCAUCAAGACACUUUCAGCCCACCACCCAAACCUGUAGCCCACAUGAAGAGGGCAAUAAUCCUGGACACUGUGAAAAGUAAAAGCAUUACAUCCAAAGAGGCAUCCCCAGGAUGGAGCAGAAAUAAGAAAACAUAAUGAAGACACAAUUUUGCAAUCACUUCUGCCUAUAUUCCAUGGCCUACAAACCACUCAAAUAGCUCCACAUGUAAGAGAAGCCAGGAUGUGCUGUCCUCCAGAGCAUCCAGAAAGAGAUAAUGGGACUGAUAAGUCCUUGGCCAUUUUCUAGUAAAAUCUAUUAAUUUAGUCA